CCGCAGGCCUUUGCAGGGCUAAUGCCAGCUCUUCAAGUCACUUGAUUCACCAGGGCUGCCUUAUCUUAGCCCUGUCUUUGGUUUUAACUUGCUAGGGCAAUUAUGGCUUGCUUUGGCUUUUAUCUGGUUUUAUGGUACAGAAUUAUGCUGUUUUGCAUAUUGGGGAUCAAACCCAGGGCCUCAUGCAUGCUAGACGAGCACUCAAUGAUGCAGAUAUAUCCCUAGCCCUUUAAAAAAAUUUUUGUGAACAGGUCUCAAACUCUAUUUCAAUGAGUUGACAUGGCUGACUUCAAACUUGGGAUCUGCCUGCCUCAGCUUCCCAAGUAGCUGGGGUUGCAGGCAAGAGAAGGGAAAUGGGAAACAAGUGUCCUUCAACGUGGAUUUGAAGGCACAGUUCCCCUUCCCCAUCCUCAUCCUAAGGCUGGCAUCCUAAGCCUCCUGAGUGCAGCAGAAAGUUCUUAACAUUGGGCACACCAGGGCCCUGCACCUCCGAGGGAGCCAGAGCUCAGAAGCUGUCAGCUCUUGCCAUCACUAUAAAAUUCCCACUGCCUUCUAUGGAAUGUUUUUGUGCUUGAUGAUCACUGCCUAGAUCAAUGAGCAGUGGGAAUUAUAAAAUCAUGUGCUACUGUAAUUUAUGACCUGGAAUUAUCCUGUAGAGAGCUUUUCCCUCAAAUGUUACCCUGAAAUGAAGUUCACAUUAAUAGGCCUAAUUCUCUUUAUCAGUUUCUAUUGCAUUUAUUUUUGUUUGUUUUGAGACAGUGUCUUGCUGUGCAGUCCAAGUUGGCCUAGAACUCACUAUGUAGCCCAGGCGAUCUUCCUGCCUGAGCCUCCCAAGUGCUGGGAUUGCAGGCGUGCACCCCUGGCUCUAUUGCUUUUAAAAUGACUUAAAAAUGCCUACAUUAAACAUCUAUAUUAAGC
rnacentral:lncRNA from 1 species